AGCUCUGUAAGCGUAUACCAAAGUUGUUGCAGUUAAAACGCUCGUAGUCGGAUUUUGGUAGUUCCGGAUCUGUGCGCGUCGUGCGCGCAGAUUGCAGGGGCUGCUUUUGUGGGCAUGCGUCGGAUGAGGCGACUUUAUUGUUGAACGUCUGUACGCAACCACCAUUUACUGUGAAAAAAUUAGAGUGUUCAAAGCAGGCAUUUGCCGUGAAUACAUUAGCAUGGAAUAAUAGAAUAGGACUUGGUCUUAUUUUGUUGGUUUGUUAUGGCUGAGUAAUGAUUAAGAGGGACAGUUGGGGGCAUUUGUAUUCCGGAGCUAGAGGUGAAAUUCUUAGAUUUCCGGAAGACAAACCGCUGCGAAAGCGUCUGCCAAGGAUGUUUUCAUUGAUCAAGAACGAAAG
rnacentral:rRNA from 1 species